AAUAAAUCGACGAUAGUGAAGGAGUAGGGUACUUCAUUGAAUGCACAGAGAGUUGACAUGAGCUGAGAGUCAAUGAUUCAAGAGUAUCUGAAAAUCAUCACUUAGAUGUAUUACUGAAGUAAGUAAGUAAGUAAUACCGGUUGUUCACCGUUACCCGAAACGCGUAUAAUUAUGUACGUUGAGUGCCAUACAUUGUAUGGAAUUUGGGUGGUAACGCGAUAACCUCGUCCCUUGU
rnacentral:ncRNA from 1 species